GCUCUCCAAGCUCUGCAUGGUUAAACUGGGCUUAACUCGUGUGACUUUUGUAAUGUAGAGAGAGAGAAAAGAUCUCAGGAUCUUGGAUUGGCCUCACAGUGGUCUCUCUUUCCUUGAUGGGUCCAACAAAG